rnacentral:rRNA from 1 species
AGGGGUGGCUUCCAUCUGGAAGAAAUCUGGAGACAGGUGCUGCAUGGCUGUCGGUCAGCUCGUGUCGUGAGAUGUUGGGUUAAGUCCCGCAACGAGCGCAACCCUUGCCUUUAGUUGCCAGCAGUUCGGCUGGGCACUCUAAAGGGACUGCCGGUGUUAAACCGGAGGAAGGUGGGGAUGACGUCAAGUCCUCAUGGCCUUUAUGACCAGGGCUACACACGUACUACAAUGGCCGAUACAAAGGGCAGCGACACUGCGAGGUGAAGCCAAUCCCGUAAAAUCGGUCUCAGUCCGGAUUGGAGUCUGCAACUCGACUCCAUGAAGUUGGAAUCGCUAGUAAUCGUGGAUCAGCAUGCCACGGUGAAUACGUUCCCGGGCCUU